rnacentral:rRNA from 1 species
AACGAACGCUGGCGGCAUGCCUAACACAUGCAAGUCGAACGAGACCUUCGGGUCUAGUGGCGCACGGGUGCGUAACACGUGGGAAUUUGCCUCGGGGUAUGGAAUAACUCAGGGAAACUUGAGCUAAUACCAUAUAAUGUCUUCGGACCAAAGAUUUAUCGCCCUGAGAUAAGCCCGCGUAGGAUUAGCUAGUUGGUGGGGUAAAGGCUCACCAAGGCGACGAUCCUUAGCUGGUCUGAGAGGAUGAUCAGCCACACUGGGACUGAGACACGGCCCAGACUCCUACGGGAGGCAGCAGUGGGGAAUAUUGGACAAUGGGCGAAAGCCUGAUCCAGCAAUGCCGCGUGAGUGAUGAAGGCCCUAGGGUUGUAAAGCUCUUUUACCAGGGAUGAUAAUGACAGUACCUGGAGAAUAAGCUCCGGCUAACUCCGUGCCAGCAGCCGCGGUAAAGUGACUACUG